rnacentral:lncRNA from 1 species
AUUUGAAUGAAUUACUGGGUAGUUAACUGUAGGCAGGUGAGGUGUGGCCAGAGGAAAUAGAUCAUUGAGUGCAUGAUGAUGGUCUAUUAAAUAUUGUUCCUGGCUUCCCUCUCUCUUUCUUUCUCUCUUUCUUUUCUGACUGCCAUAACCUUACAGCUUUCUGUCUCCACACUCUUUGGCCACGGUUUUCUGCCUCACCUCAGACCAGAACAAUGGGUCAGCUGAUUACACACUGAGGCCUCUGAAACCCUGAACCAAACUAAACUUUUCCUUCUCUGUGUUGUUCUUCUCAAAUAUUUUAGUCACAGCGAUGAAAGGUUGAGUUAGACACUGAACUACUUAGUUGGGUAAACUAUUCAAUUUAUAAGAUGCCUAUGAAUAUAACUAUAUAAUUUAAGACUGCCCAAAGAAAUACUCUGUCCUAAAGAUAUUAUCACAGGUCAAUGUCACCAAUUCUCAAGACAAAGAAGAAGAAUUUUUCCAGAAAAGAAUUGGCAGGUAAAAUACUACUAGUGGUUUUGUCUAAAAACAAUCACCUUUUGAAAAGCAUUUUCAGACUUUUUGUUUUCAUAACAUAGGCCCUGCAGAAUUUAAUGGAAUCUUAGGCCAAGGCACAAACUCUUCUAAAUAGACACCUUCAAUUUUUACAUGAAGUUAAAAAGAAAUGUUUACAACAGAAUUUUUAGUAGGAAAAGAAAUGCUAAAAGCUAUGAUGUUCACCAAUAUGUAAACCUUAUAGGGGCAUGGGGUUAUGGGCUGCUGUUUUAAUUGCUCUGUCUCUAGUAUCAGCAACAGUGAGAGUUUUGAAACUAUCAAACAAAUUUAUCUAUAAAUCUAUAAAAUAAUAAAGAUUAAUAAAUUCUAAUAGUACAGUGUUGAUUUUAUCUUCUCCCUUUUUGCUAACCUGUCCUUUUCCUGUAACAACUGAAGGAAGAUGUAAUAUAGGUCAGAAGACAGGGAAAGCAAAAGAAAUCUGAGAGAGACAGCUGAUACCCCAAAUCUUUUCUCCUUUCUACUCAGUAAAAUUCCACCAUUAUACUACAUUGGAUAUGUAUCUUGAAAGGAUAGAUAAGAGAGUUCCUCAAAUUAGCAUGGAUCAGAUUUAUAAAUGUUAGAUCAAAAGUUUAAGAUUAUGAUUGAGAGAGAAAAUUUGAAAUCCANCUACUUUUGAAGGAAAAUAGUCUAUCUUAAUUUAAUAAGUUUUGAUAAGAUGAAUGAAGUUUGAUAAACCACCAAGGGCAGAAUUAUUCAAAUCCCAAAGACCUGCCUACAUACAGUAAGAGCCUUUACUAAACUUAGCUGGCUUCCAAAGAGAUGGCCCAAUGACUAUCUUCCCCAGAAACUUAUGGGGAAAGUAUAUAUUAGUUUAUAUUGCUGAUGUUGCAUCUGCUAAAAUGUCUUUUUCCUCCUUGAAUAAAAGAGGAAGGAUUCUGUUUCCGUUGGUGACUCACGGCCAUUUAGAAAAUCACCAUCCACUUCUGCUUUUUAGUUGUUCCUCAAAAUGUUGAGAAUCUGUCAUACUAAAGAAUAGUACUUGACUAGAUAGAGACUGCCUACUUUUUUCCCAUACCAUCAAUGAAGGAUAAUUAACUUACUUGUAUAGUAUAUGUUAUAAAUCUAUCUCAGUGUAUAGGUUAAUUCAUGUAAUGAUGAACUAUCUAUUUCUAGUUCCACUCCUAAAAUUAGGAAUUGAAUUUAUAAUUAGACCAAUGGACAACUUUGUGGGAAUCUGUCUUUCUCUUUUAGCUGGGUUUUGACAGCUGGUGUUAUCAACAGACUCUAACUGUAGUCAUAUCCUAGAUCAUGCUGGUUCUGCUCAUUCAAGUUAGAUUGUAAGUAUCCUGUGCCAGGGAUCUUUCUGCACACUGGUGGUAGGAUAUAAGAUGGCAUCCUCUUCCUCCAAAUCAAAGUAGAACUCUCCAGACACAGCUUCUGUCCAAGAGCUUCAUUCCAGUCGUUAAAAGUCCCUCGCUUGUCCAGUAACAAUAUCCAGUUCAAACAGGGAAAGGAGGAGAAUAAAAACCCACCAGUAGUAAUUCAGAUGAGUUUGAGACUUUACUGGGACCUGAAGAAGCUGUCCCUUCUGGUUCCAUGUGCUCUUGUUGUGCUUUCCUUUAAUGGUUGUUAUUCUUGGUUGUACACUGUAAUCACCAGGGGAACUUUGAAAACUAUGGUUCUUUUUCAUACUGUAGCCCAUGGCCCUUGCCUGCACCUUUGUAAGACUCUGACUGAAUGGGUCUGGAAUGUGGCCUGAGCAUUGAAAUUUUAAGAAGACCCCAGAUGAUUCAAACAUAUGUUACAGAAUGACUAUUGCCUCAUUUUUUUUUUACAAUGAUUUUUCUUACAAUCUAGUAAGACCAGAUGUGAGCUCUUUCCCAGGGACCAGGACCACCAUCAUAAUUAGUUGCACACAGUGAAAAAUGAAAAUAUAAAGCCAAAGGACUAAAAAACUUAAAAAUUGUUAAGAAUUUCAAGACUCUGACAGAAGAAUAUUAAGCCAAGCAUGCAUUCAUGUCUUGCAAACAUGGGCUGUAUGCACAAGUCUCAUACCCAGUAAGCUAGACCCAUCUGAGAGCCAGUGUUAAUAGUCAAGGAUUUGCCCUGUUACAGGUCACUUUUCUCUUCCAUAAUUUCCUGUCUCCCCAUUUGGUAUGCUUAUUCUUCUUGCUAAUUAUUAUGAUUGCAUUUUCUAUCCCCCCUACCCUGCUUUGGUGAGUAAAGGUAGUAUUAAGAGCAACUUGAGUUAUGGUAGAAUCUUCUCUCUCUUUUCUUGACUAUCUUUUUUUUUUUUAAAAUGACCUUGUCCUAUUUAUUUGGUUAUUGCUGAGAAAAUUUUUAUGAUGAUGUCGGAAAAGUAUAUUUUAGAUUUUAUUUCAAUAGGUUUUGGAGAAAAGCAAUUCUUGUAUAUGGCUUGACUAUAACAUUUCUACUCAGAAGACAUUUCACAAUUCUCAUUUUCACUAUUUUUAUAUUUCUUAUAUUUAAGUAAUGAAAUAAAUUUGAAAUGAAAAUUAGAACCAGAACAAAGAGAGUCAGGACGGAUCCUACAGCCAGUAUUGUACAAGAAAUGUGAUUCUUAAAACAAACCGCACUUUUUGGGCUAAAGAAAAAUGUAACUUAAUAUUUAACUAAUGAACACUUAAAAAUAUAUGUAUCUAGUCCGACUUGACUUUCUGGAUUUAUUUCUUUCUGCCAUUCAUGCCUUUUAAUUAUAGCUCCUUCUUCUACCAGAAAUUCUAAAAACUAUAAAAAAGAUACUCCACGAUAUUUGUUUCUGGAAAUAGAUUCAAGAAUCAUAGAAACAUAAUCCAUAAUAAUCGUCACAUACUUCAAGAUGAAAGCACACUUGACACUUGGUCCAGGAUUGCAACUGUAUUUCAGGACCCAGCAUUCCCUUUCCCUCAGGAAAGAUGGAGCUGUCAGCAGGGCUGGCAGGCCCCUGCAUCUCACACUCAGCUGACCUUGUGGUGUGCAGUGGAUUUACAACACAGUGAGUGAGGAAGGAGCCAACAUCACUAUGAUAUAGUGCAUGUCAAAUAAAGUGGGAGAAAUGCUGCUCAGUCAGGAUCUCAGGGAGACUUUAAUCCUCACUAGACCAGAGCUGAAGUUUAUGACAAGCAGAUGUGAAAUCCCCACUGGGAAUUCAGCUGCCAAGGGCUCAAUAAAAACAAACUGAAAAGGAAAAUGAAGCCCACUGAUAUGAAAUGUAAUAGGGAUCCUAACGGGUUAAUGUGAUUCUUGUUGUUCUAGAACAAUUCCAUUAUUGGUAUAAUUUGCUGUAAUACUUCCUUCCUCUUUUUUGACAUCUUCUUCCAAUGAUCUAAAGUGAAGUUCAAGUGAAAAUCCUUGAGGGAAAUUUUCCCUAAUGAUAUUAACAUCAUUUUUUUCUUUUUUCUUUUUUUUCCCCACUUAUUAUUAAUUCACAAUUUAUGUAUAUUUAAAUAUAUGCACACACACUAUAUUCUUUCU